CGCCGGUUCAUCUCCUGGAACCUUCGAUCCAGGAGGUCCUCUCGACUGUGAGUCUCGAGGGUCUUCUGACAGAGUGAAGGUAGGGAUCCUCCGAGAGUGGAAUCGUGAUCAGAUCGGGGACUCUCCAUCCUCGGAUUCCCCUUGUCGGGGAGGACAGGACCACUGGCCCAAGUGGCCCACCCCACUGCCGGAUCUUGGAGCUCCGGCGAUGCUCUUUCCAAUCGCACUGACACCUGCGGCUGUUGCUGUUGCAUGGCCUACACU
rnacentral:lncRNA from 1 species